rnacentral:rRNA from 1 species
CCUACGGGUGGCUGCAGUGAGGAAUAUUGGUCAAUGGGCGUAAGCCUGAACCAGCCAAGUCGCGUGAGGGAUGAAGGUUCUAUGGAUCGUAAACCUCUUUUAUAAGGGAAUAAAGUGUGGGACGUGUCCUAUUUUGUAUGUACCUUAUGAAUAAGGAUCGGCUAACUCCGUGCCAGCAGCCGCGGUAAUACGGAGGAUCCGAGCGUUAUCCGGAUUUAUUGGGUUUAAAGGGUGCGCAGGCGGAGGUGCAAGUCAGCGGUCAAAUUGCGGGGCUCAACCCCGUACUGCCGUUGAAACUGCAUCCCUUGAGUGCGCGAGAAGUAUGCGGAAUGCGUGGUGUAGCGGUGAAAUGCAUAGAUAUCACGCAGAACUCCGAUUGCGAAGGCAGCAUACCGGCGCGCAACUGACGCUCAUGCACGAAAGCGUGGGUAUCGAACAGGAUUAGAUACCCUUGUAGUC